rnacentral:rRNA from 1 species
UACAGAGGUCUCAAGCGUUGUUCGGAUUCAUUGGGCGUAAAGGGUGCGUAGGCGGCGCGGUAAGUCGGGUGUGAAAUCUCGGGGCUUAACUCCGAAACUGCAUUCGAUACUGCCGUGCUUGAGGACUGGAGAGGAGACUGGAAUUCCGCGUGUAGCAGUGAAAUGCGUAGAUAUGCGGAGGAACACCGAUGGCGAAGGCAAUCCCCUGGGCCUGCACUGACGCUCAUGCACGAAAGCGUGGGGAGCAAACAGG